AUUGAACGCUGGCGGCAGGCCUAAUACAUGCAAGUCGAACGAUCACUUCGGUGAUAGUGGCGCACGGGUGCGUAACGCGUGGGAAUCUGCCCUUGGGUUCGGAAUAACGUUUGGAAACGAACGCUAAUACCGGAUGAUGACGUAAGUCCAAAGAUUUAUCGCCCAGGGAUGAGCCCGCGUGAGAUUAGCUAGUUGGUGGGGUAAAGGCCUACCAAGGCGACGAUCUCUAGCUGGUCUGAGAGGAUGAUCAGCCACACUGGGACUGAGACACGGCCCAGACUCCUACGGGAGGCGGCAGUAGGGAAUAUUGGACAAUGGGGGCAACCCUGAUCCAGCAAUGCCGCGUGAGUGAUGAAGGCCUUAGGGUUGUAAAGCUCUUUUACCCGGGAUGAUAAUGACAGUACCGGGAGAAUAAGCCCCGGCUAACUCCGUGCCAGCCGCCGCCGUAAAAC
rnacentral:rRNA from 1 species